UACAGGGGGUGCAAACGUUGCUCGGAAUCAUUGGGCGUAAAGCGCACGUAGGCGGUUCGUUAUGUCGGAUGUGAAAGCCCUUGGCUUAACCGAGGAAGUGCAUCCGAAACUGGCGAGCUAGAGUACUAAAGAGGAUCGCGGAAUUCCCGGUGUAGAGGUGAAAUUCGUAGAUAUCUGAAGGAACAUCAGUGGCGAAAGCGACUUCCUGGACCAAUACUGACGCUCAUGUGCGAAAGCGUGGGGAGCAAACAGG
rnacentral:rRNA from 1 species